CACACACACACACACGUGUGUAUAUAUAUAUAUAUAUAUACACACUCAUGCAUAUAUAUAUAUAUAUAUAUAUAUGUGUGUGUGUGUGUGUU